UACGAAGGGAGCUGGCGUUGUUCGGAAUUACUGGGCGUAAAGCGCACGUAGGCGGAUUGCUAAGUCAGGGGUGAAAUCCCGGGGCUCAACCUCGGAACUGCCUUUGAUACUGACAAUCUCGAGUCCGAUAGAGGUGGGUGGAAUUCCUAGUGUAGAGGUGAAAUUCGUAGAUAUUAGGAAGAACACCGGUGGCGAAGGCGGCCCACUGGAUCGGUACUGACGCUGAGGUGCGAAAGCGUGGGGAGCAAACAGG
rnacentral:rRNA from 1 species